CCCUAGCCCUGAUGGGAACGGCAUCCUUUUGUGGUGGUCCCGAAGUCUCGGGACACCACAAAAGAUAUAGUGGACAGCAGGAAAUAGC
rnacentral:sRNA from 1 species